UCUCACACGUUUCCCAUCCUCAGACAGGACGAGUUCGGGAUUUGCCGUGUCUGGAUCCAGAGUCACGUCCACUGGGGAGAGAUGGGCGCGUCUGCACU